rnacentral:lncRNA from 1 species
GCUCUUUCUAGGACGGCAUCACGAGGACAGCAUCAGGCAGGAACUGCUGAGUAGACGUACUGGUCCAAGAACAGUGAAAGACAUGUAAAGCAGAUGUAACCCCAAACAACAGCUGAAGAAGAGUUGCCCAACUCCGCCAGCCUAGAUCAAACUGCAGUCAAAUGUACACCCUUGAGCAUGGGAAUAAAUUCAUGUUUUUGUAAAUC